GGAAAUAUCACGGCAGCAGCGCGCUAGGAAGCGGAUAAAUGAGUUCUCUCUUCCUCUUCCGAUAGAGUAGCUUGGUCAGCUAUUAUAUCAUCGCCACUCGGAGCAGAAGCCGAACGAUGUGAUGCCAUAGAAUGAACGUACGCUAUGAUUAAAACACGUACAUCUAUCAGCCGGGCAACGUAAAAAACAGGCUUCCUUUUUUUUUUUCAGAUUCAAGCUGCAGUAUAGCUGUCAAGGGCGACACCAAUGCCAUGCCGUGCAAGAGGCCCGCACUGCGAGUCACCUGCCUGCACUGACCUGUGAAAGAAUAUAAGCGGCUUUCUAGGGUGCCCGGAAAACAAGCUUUAAAUCUCUGCGUCUUCUUUAGUACGAUCGUCGCGGUACCGUCCAUCCAGCUUUUACGACUGCAUCUCUUUCCGGUCGCGCGAGCCUUCUUUUCUUUGUCGAAACUUCUCCUGCAGGUGGCCCCGCACCCUGAAGAGCUCUGCGACAUCUUUUUUGGCCGAGUGUGUCAGCAUUCGCCGGGCACCGAAGCACCUGUUUUUUUCCUCUUUUUUUUUUCCGAAAGCGCCAGCCGAUUUUGCUUUACGAUCUCCCUCAGACUGUUUGGCACAGUUAUUUAGUGCUUCCGCUAUGUGCCUCUAAAUAAACUUGCUCCCUUUUUGCCCCGGCUUUCGCAGCAAGACCUUCUUAUCGCACAGUCGCUCGGAUUCAACGGGUGGAAUUUGUGCGUUAGAACCAUUUAGAACCUCUUUUGACUUUUGUAAAAUCGGACACUCCUUAUACAUAUCAGCAUGCUACCAAGGUUCAAGUAGUUCCAUCUUCAACAACCCCACUUAAGAUAGGGACAAGUACAAGAACACUAGACAUAUGCUGGCUACCAACCGCGUUUAUUACACGAGAACAGCAGUUUAACUUUAUAUAUAUAUAUACGCCACCACGUCAUUCCUGCAACUGGCGCCUGUACACACAGAUCCUGCAACCAGAAAUACAGCGCUAAGAAUUAUGACCUGUUGACGCUACUUGGGAACCAAAAUUCACGUAGUGGCCUAAUCUACUUUCAAGAAAAUCCACUUCGAGAUCGCAUGAUGCAAUCGCGGGGCGGCUGGCACACACGUCGCCACAUUUCAUUAAUUCUAAACGCCCUGGUCAUUUCACUCCUUAUCCUUUCCUUGCGACUGCGGGUGAUCUUACCAACUUGCGUAAGUUGGGAUUUUAUUUCGAACUAGUUGCAAGCCAGGACGAGCCCCUGACAGAGCCGACUGCGAACAGGAUUGCACGUGGUUGAUGUAAAUAAGCACAAUGCGGCGAAACAGUUUUUCAAGCAACUACUACGACACCGUGCUUCCAAAAAAAUAAAACGAAUAGCUUUGAAAACAAGCUUACGGUAAAUAAAUCGGUUCUUUUUCACGCAGUAAGGCAGGAACAUGGACACGAUGCCUAAGUUCAGGCAAAUGAUAUGUUCAUAAAAAAAAAGCCUGGCCGCGGUGGCUUUGCGGCUACGGCGUUGCACUGC